GUCUGGCACAUGCACAGACAGCUACACCUCACUCUCAGGACCCCGGCUACCAUAUGCUGUAGCAGUUGGGAGUAUAACUUGCCAAGAAGUCCAGAAGAAAGUGUAAAGUAAGUCAAAAGAAGAAAAAAAAAGAACUUUUUGAAAAAGACUGAAACUUCUUGCACAGGCUAUAAGGAACUAGCACAGUCUAUGUGCUAGCCAGUGCACUUUCAUGACCUUGGAUCCACCAAAAAACCCUCUGAAGAGCAAGAGAUAAAUGUGGACCUGUCCUCACACAUGACUCUCCAAGCAUGGCAGCGGCUCAAAGGAAAUCUCUCUGCACCCUUGAGGUUACUCAAGAACACUUGCAGUGCACAGAGAUCCUGUUUGUAUGUCCAGCAAUUGUUGUUUGAUGACCAAUAAAUAAACAAAUGCUAGAGAUGAA